rnacentral:rRNA from 1 species
UGGGGAAUAUUGGACAAUGGGGGGCAACCCUGAUCCAGCAAUGCCGCGUGUGUGAAGAAGGUUUUCGGAUUGUAAAGCACUUUCGGCGGGGACGAUGAUGACGGUACCCGCAGAAGAAGCCCCGGCUAACUUCGUGCCAGCAGCCGCGGUAAUACGAAGGGGGCUAGCGUUGCUCGGAAUGACUGGGCGUAAAGGGCGUGUAGGCGGUUUGUACAGUCAGAUGUGAAAUCCCCGGGCUUAACCUGGGAGCUGCAUUUGAGACGUGCAGACUAGAGUGUGAGAGAGGGUUGUGGAAUUCCCAGUGUAGAGGUGAAAUUCGUAGAUAUUGGGAAGAACACCGGUGGCGAAGGCGGCAACCUGGCUCAUUACUGACGCUGAGGCGCGAAAGCGUGGGGGAGCA